AACGAACGCUGGCGGCAUGCCUAACACAUGCAAGUCGAACGAGACCUUCGGGUCUAGUGGCGCACGGGUGCGUAACGCGUGGGAACCUGCCCUUAGGUUCGGAAUACCUCCCCGAAGGGGGUGCUAAUACCGGUUAAUGUCUUCGGACCAAAGAUUUAUCGCCUUUGGAUGGGCCCGCGUUGGAUUAGCUAGUUGGUAGUGUAAAAGCCUACCAAGGCGACGAUGCAUAGCUGGUCUGAGAGGAUGAUCAGCCACACUGGGACUGAGACACGGCCCAGACUCCUACGGGAGGCAGCAGUGGGGAAUAUUGGACAAGGGGCGAAAGCCUGAUACAGCAAUGCCGCGUGAGUGAGGAAGGGCUUAGGGUUGUAAAGCUCUCUUACCCGGGAUGAUAAUGACAGUACCGGGAGAAUAAGCUCCGGCUAACUCCGUG
rnacentral:rRNA from 1 species